rnacentral:rRNA from 1 species
UCUGGUUGAUCCUGCCAGUAGUCAUAUGCUUGUCUCAAAGAUUAAGCCAUGCAUGUCUAAGUAUAAGCAAUUUAUACAGUGAAACUGCGAAUGGCUCAUUAAAUCAGUUAUCGUUUAUUUGAUAGUUCCUUUACUACAUGGUAUAACUGUGGUAAUUCUAGAGCUAAUACAUGCUUAAAAUCUCGACCCUUUGGAAGAGAUGUAUUUAUUAGAUAAAAAAUCAAUGUCUUCGGACUCUUUGAUGAUUCAUAAUAACUUUUCGAAUCGCAUGGCCCUGUGCUGGCGAUGGUUCAUUCAAAUUUCUGCCCUAUCAACUUUCGAUGGUAGGAUAGUGGCCUAUCAUGGUUUCAACGGGUAACGGGGAAUAAGGGUUCGAUUCCGGAGAGGGAGCCUGAGAAACGGCUACCACAUCCAAGGAAGGCAGCAGGCGCGCAAAUUACCCAAUCCUAAUUCAGGGAGGUAGUGACAGUAAAUGACGAUACAGGGCCCAUUCGGGUCUUGUAAUUGGAAUGAGUACAAUGUAAAUACCUUAACGAGGAACAAUUGGAGGGCAAGUCUGGUA